GGCUGCUUGUCGUGAUUGGUUGGACACUCUCUUCGUCUAAGGUCUUAGCUUGGUCACUCUAUUAAGCUUUCCCAGCAAGUCUAUUGAAUGGGGUACGAAAGAUUGCUAUUCAAAGCAUCGUUAAGAGUUCUGUCUUCUAGGGAGUAGUCAAGAUAAGAUGACUCUGAUCUUUCCUUCUAUGGAGCCGGAUGUGAGCUUAUCGCCUACUGAUCUUACUCAAAAAGAGUCAAUGGGAGUAGACACAUCAAUAGCAGCAGACGCAGAGGAAGAAAUCCUUGCUCUUCGGGCUAAGAUGCUGACUUUGCCGUGGAAAGAGUAAUGAGAGGAAAGCCUUGACCUUCCCUUGUUCUACCCUUCGAACU
rnacentral:lncRNA from 1 species